rnacentral:rRNA from 1 species
UACGUAGGGGGCUAGCGUUGUCCGGAUUUAUUGGGCGUAAAGAGCGUGUAGGCGGCCAGGUAGGUCUGGUGUGAAAACUCGAGGCUUAACCUUGAGAUGUCAUCGGAAACCAUUUGGCUAGAGUCCGGAAGAGGAGAGUGGAAUUCCUGGUGUAGCGGUGAAAUGCGCAGAUAUCAGGAAGAACACCCGUGGCUAAGGCGGCUCUCUAGUACGGUACUGACGCUGAGACGCGAAAGCGUGGGGAGCGAACAGG